rnacentral:piRNA from 1 species
UGCUGGUUGCAUUUUUUUUUA